AGUGAACGCUGGCGGUAGGCCUAACACAUGCAAGUCGAACGGCAGCACAGUAAGAGCUUGCUCUUACGGGUGGCGAGUGGCGGACGGGUGAGGAAUACAUCGGAAUCUACUUUUUCGUGGGGGAUAACGUAGGGAAACUUACGCUAAUACCGCAUACGACCUACGGGUGAAAGCAGGGGAUCUUCGGACCUUGCGCGAUUGAAUGAGCCGAUGUCGGAUUAGCUAGUUGGCGGGGUAAAGGCCCACCAAGGCGACGAUCCGUAGCUGGUCUGACAGGAUGAUCAGCCACACUGGAACUGAGACACGGUCCAGACUCCUACGGGAGGCAGCAGUGGGGAAUAUUGGACAAUGGGCGCAAGCCUGAUCCAGCCAUACCGCGUGGGUGAAGAAGGCCUGCGGGUUGUAAAGCCCUUUUGUUGGGAAAGAAAAGCAGCAGGUUAAUACCCCGCUGUUCUGACGGUACCCAAAGAAUAAGCACCGGCUAACUUCGU
rnacentral:rRNA from 1 species